rnacentral:lncRNA from 1 species
UUUAACUUUUUAGCUUAAGAUAUUACACUGUAAUAGUUUACUUUCCUUAUCCCAGAGUUUACAAUUUUCACAUACAUUGUCACAGAAAUAACACUUAUACAUGUAUUUUACAUACAUAGUCCAAGAGUAUACCCUAGGCUAUUUUAAAACAUUUUUAGUCUUAGAAAUUACACUAAUAUUUAACAUAUUUUGUUCCAGAUUUUAGAUAUUAACAUUUUUAGUCUUAGAAAUUACAUUGUAAUUUUUAACACACUUCCCAGAAAUAACAAUUAAUAUUUAACAUACAUUGUCCCAGAGUUUACCCUAUUAUUAUUCUUAGUCUUAGAAAUUACAUUGUAAUUUUUAACAUACUUUGUCCCAGAAAUAAUACUUAAUAUUUAAUAUACUUUGACCAAGAAAUUAUACUAUUAAUAUAAUAUUUAACAUACUAGUACAUAGUCCAAGAGUUUACCUUAUUAACAUUUAAGUCUUAGAAAUUACACUUAAUAUUUAACAUACAUAUUCCCAGAGCCUUUUUUUCUUACCAUACACAGUUCUAGAAAUUACACUGAAAUUGUUUACAUAGUUUAUAUAGUAGCAGAGGAAACACUUUUUACAGAAAUAUAUCCAGUAAUUGAGCCACAUAUAUUUUACUAAGUUCCAUGUUACUAGGUUGUUGAUUAUACACUGUGAUUUGUAUGCAUUAUUGCUGAGUUUACACUUUAUUUAGUAUGCCUCCUUCUAGAUAGUAUACCGUAUUUAUUGUACAUACUCAGAGGUAACACUAUUUAAUGCACAUUUUUGCAAAGGUUUUGAUUGUUAAUGACUGUAUUUUUUCUUUUUAACAAACAUAUUUCAGUUUGUUAUAUUUCUCACUUCUUUUAUCAUUAGUGUUUUGUCUUCGGUGUAAACGAAAAUUGGUUAUUUCACUUAGAAAAAACAACCAUAAUGUCCCAUGGUAGAACAUGCAGGUUUUCUGUGAAAUGAAAGUAUUCCCUUAUUUAUUUGUUGCAAAUGUAUGGAUAUUGAAACAAACAUGUUUUAAUAGGAAAUAGCAAUAUAUGAAAUCAUAAAAUAACCUGAAUUAUUGAACUUUAAAUUACAAUUUAAUUGUAUGUCUUUAGGAGAAAAAUGGUUACAUGAAAUGUUUAAAAGAAAACAGUUGGUGCUAGUUUUUCUACAUUUGAACACUUGAAAGUUUGUUUAUUGCUUACAACAUUUUAUCUUGUAUUUUAUGUCUGUUUUUAAACUGUUAACAGUAUAUGUUUUGACAAUAUGUUAUGACUCAUUCCAUAAAAUACUUGUCAAUUUUGAUGCAUCAGUUGUAAUUGUUGAUUGUGAAGAGUAGUAAUGGUCUCAUCAGAAAGUCUGUAGUUAAAGAACACAUAACCUCUGCAUUAUCCAAUCAUGAAAAACUUUCCAGUAUAUUUUGUCUUUUAUGAAAAACAAAAAAAACACUGAAUAAUCAGAUUGUCAAUCAAAGUUGCCCGAUUUUUAACAUUCAGUUGAAUCUUUAUACAUUGACUUGUCCCAGUCCUGGUAUGUGACAUAUAUCCUGUGAACUAUACAGUCAACAAACUUAUAAGACAAAUGCCAUCUAAGCCACCAACAAAGAUGGUUGUUGGAUAACCUAGUAGCUAUUAGCAAGUAGUGUUAUAUAGUUAAGAAAUAAAGAUUUCAGAUCAAAAUAAUAUAUUUAGAACAAUGAUUUGUAAGGAGUUAGUGUUUAUUUUUAAAGUGAUAUUUUGAAUGUGUUAUAUCAAAGUAAGUUAUGUUUUAUAAGUUAUGUUUUGUAAUAUAUUCUAUGUAUACAUCAGUGAAAGUGAGAUUUUUUUUGUGAUAUAUUCUGUCUACAUCAGCAUUGAUUUGGAUUGUUUUACUAUGUGAUAAAAGAGAUUAUACAUUUGAAAUUA